GUUGUUUCUUUGGUUUUUGGUCCAAGACCAAGAUUAGUAUCUGUUCUUAUCAUUUAACAUCUCAUGAAUCCUCUACCUGAAGAUACUUCCCUCAGUGGAACUUUGGAACAGGGAGAUGAACCAGAGGCUGGCUCCAUCCAUUCCACAAGUCAGCCUGAUGUCGCAGUUCCUCCACGAAUGGUGUGGUUCUC